GGGGCUGGGGCUCAGUGGAAUAGCUUCUGCUUGGCACGCAGAAGGUCCUGGGUUCAAUCCUGGGCAUCCCUA
rnacentral:tRNA from 1 species